UUAAGUGAAUAAGGGCGCACGGUGGAUGCCUUGGCACUAGGAGCCGAUGAAGGACGGGACUAACACCGAUAUGCUUUGGGGAGCUGUACGUAAGCUAUGAUCCAGAGAUUUCCGAAUGGGGGAACCCAACAUCUUUAAUAGGAUGUUACGAUUGUGUGAAUACAUAGCACAUUCGAGGUAGACGCAGAGAACUGAAACAUCUAAGUACCUGCAGGAAGAGAAAGAAAAUUCGAUUCCCUGAGUAGCGGCGAGCGAAACGGGAAAAGCCCAAACCAGCAAGCUUGCUUGUUGGGGUUGUAGGACUCCAAUAUGGUAGUUCUUUCAGAUAGUCGAAUGACUUGGAAAAGUCAGUCAAAGAGGGUAAAAACCCCGUAGACGAAAUGUGGAAGACACCUAGGAGGAUCCUGAGUACGGCGGAACACGAGAAAUUCCGUCGGAAUCCGGGAGGACCAUCUCCCAAGGCUAAAUACUCCCUAGUGACCGAUAGUGAACCAGUACCGUGAGGGAAAGGUGAAAAGCACCCCGGAAGGGGAGUGAAAUAGAACCUGAAACCGUGUGCCUACAACAAGUCAAAGCCCGUUAAUGGGUGAUGGCGUGCCUUUUGUAGAAUGAACCGGCGAGUUACGAUUGCAUGCGAGGUUAAGUUGAAGAGACGGAGCCGCAGCGAAAGCGAGUCUGAAUAGGGCGUUUGAGUAUGUAGUCGUAGACCCGAAACCAUGUGAUCUACCCAUGUCCAGGUUGAAGGUGCGGUAAAACGCACUGGAGGACCGAACCCACGUACGUUGAAAAGUGCGGGGAUGAGGUGUGGGUAGCGGAGAAAUUCCAAACGAACUUGGAGAUAGCUGGUUCUCUCCGAAAUAGCUUUAGGGCUAGCCUCGGAAUUGAGAAUGAUGGAGGUAGAGCACUGUUUGGACUAGGGGCCCAUCUCGGGUUACCGAAUUCAGAUAAACUCCGAAUGCCAUUCAUUCAUAUCCGGGAGUCAGACUGUGAGUGAUAAGAUCCAUAGUCGAAAGGGAAACAGCCCAGACCACCAGCUAAGGUCCCAAAAUAUAUGUUAAGUGGAAAAGGAUGUGGGGUUGCACAGACAACUAGGAUGUUGGCUUAGAAGCAGCCAUCAUUUAAAGAGUGCGUAAUAGCUCACUAGUCGAGUGACCCUGCGCCGAAAAUGUACCGGGGCUAAACAUAUUACCGAAGCUGUGGAGUACACCUUUAGGUGUAUUGGUAGGAGAGCGUUCUAAGGGCGUCGAAGGCAGAUCGUGAGGACUGCUGGAGCGCUUAGAAGUGAGAAUGCCGGUAUGAGUAGCGAAAGACAGGUGAGAAUCCUGUCCACCGAAUGACUAAGGUUUCCUGGGGAAGGCUCGUCCGCCCAGGGUUAGUCGGGACCUAAGCCGAGGCCGACAGGCGUAGGCGAUGGAUAACAGGUUGAUAUUCCUGUACCCGUUGUUUUUGUUUGAGCAAUGGAGGGACGCAGGAGGCUAAGGAAUGCAGACGAUCGGAAAUGUCUGUCCAAGCAGUAAGUCUGAAGAGGAGUCAAAUGCUUCUUUUCUUAGGGACAAGCUGUGAUGGGGAGGGAAAUAAUAGUACCGAAGUUCCUGAUGUCACACUGCCGAGAAAAGCUUCUAGUGAGAAAACAGCGGCCCGUACCGCAAACCGACACAGGUAGUCGAGGAGAGAAUCCUAAGGUGAGCGAGAGAACUCUCGUUAAGGAACUCGGCAAAAUGACCCCGUAACUUCGGGAGAAGGGGUGCUGAUCAUACGAUCAGCCGCAGUGAAUAGGCCCAAGCGACUGUUUAUCAAAAACACAGGUCUCUGCAAAAUCGUAAGAUGAAGUAUAGGGGCUGACGCCUGCCCGGUGCUGGAAGGUUAAGAGGAGUGCUUAGCGCAAGCGAAGGUACGAAUUGAAGCCCCAGUAAACGGCGGCCGUAACUAUAACGGUCCUAAGGUAGCGAAAUUCCUUGUCGGGUAAGUUCCGACCCGCACGAAAGGCGUAACGAUUUGGGCACUGUCUCAACGAGAGACUCGGUGAAAUUUUAGUACCUGUGAAGAUGCAGGUUACCCGCGACAGGACGGAAAGACCCCAUGGAGCUUUACUGUAGUUUGAUAUUGAGUGUCUGUACCGCAUGUACAGGAUAGGUAGGAGCCGUAGAAAUCGGAACGCUAGUUUCGAUGGAGGCGCUGGUGGGAUACUACCCCUGCGUUAUGGCCACUCUAACCCGCACCACUAAUCGUGGUGGGAGACAGUGUCAGAUGGGCAGUUUGACUGGGGCGGUCGCCUCCUAAAAGGUAACGGAGGCGCCCAAAGGUUCCCUCAGAAUGGUUGGAAAUCAUUCGAAGAGUGUAAAGGCAGAAGGGAGCUUGACUGCGAGACCAACAAGUCGAGCAGGGACGAAAGUCGGGCUUAGUGAUCCGGUGGUUCCGCAUGGAAGGGCCAUCGCUCAACGGAUAAAAGCUACCCUGGGGAUAACAGGCUUAUCUCCCCCAAGAGUCCACAUCGACGGGGAGGUUUGGCACCUCGAUGUCGGCUCGUCGCAUCCUGGGGCUGUAGUCGGUCCCAAGGGUUGGGCUGUUCGCCCAUUAAAGCGGCACGCGAGCUGGGUUCAGAACGUCGUGAGACAGUUCGGUCCCUAUCCGUCGCGGGCGUUGGAAAUUUGAGAGGAGCUGUCCUUAGUACGAGAGGACCGGGAUGGACUUACCGCUGGUGUACCAGUUGUUCUGCCAAGGGCAUUGCUGGGUAGCUAUGUAGGGAAGGGAUAAACGCUGAAAGCAUCUAAGUGUGAAGCCCACCUCAAGAUGAGAUUUCCCAUUUCUUUAAGAAAGUAAGAUCCCUGAGAGAUGAUCAGGUAGAUAGGUCAGGAGUGGAAGUACAGUGAUGUAUGGAGCGGACUGAUACUAAUCGAUCGAGGACUUAACCAA
rnacentral:rRNA from 1 species